UCCGGAAAACUAAGUUUACUG
rnacentral:piRNA from 1 species